GAUGAACGCUGGCGGCGUGCCUAAUACAUGCAAGUCGAGCGAACGGACGAGAAGCUUGCUUCUCUGAUGUUAGCGGCGGACGGGUGAGUAACACGUGGAUAACCUACCUAUAAGACUGGGAUAACUUCGGGAAACCGGAGCUAAUACCGGAUAAUAUUCUGAACCGCAUGGUUCAAAAGUGAAAGACGGUCUUGCUGUCACUUAUAGAUGGAUCCGCGCGGCAUUAGCUAGUUGGUAAGGUAACGGCCUACCAAGGCAACGAUGCAUAGCCGAGCUGAGAGGGGGAUCGGCCGCACGGGAGCGGAGACACGGUCCAGACGCCUACGGGAGGCAGCAGUAGGGUAUGGUACGCAAUGGUCGGAAGCCUUACGGAGCAACGCCGCGUGAGUGGUGAAGGUCUUCGGUUCGUAAAACUCUGUUAUUAGUGAAAAACAUAUGUGUAAGUAACUGUGCACAACGUGACGGUACCUAAUCAGAAAGCCACGGCUAACUACGUG
rnacentral:rRNA from 1 species